UACAGAGGGGGCAAGCGUUGUUCGGAAUUACUGGGCGUAAAGGGCGCGUAGGCGGCCUGUUAAGUCGAACGUGAAAUCCCCGGGCUCAACCCGGGAACUGCGUCCGAUACUGGCAGGCUUGAAUCCGGGAGAGGGAUGCGGAAUUCCAGGUGUAGCGGUGAAAUGCGUAGAUAUCUGGAGGAAUACCGGUGGCGAAGGCGGCAUCCUGGACCGGCAUUGACGCUGAUGAGCGAAAGCCAGGGGAGCAAACGGG
rnacentral:rRNA from 1 species